GGAAGCGUGCCCGAAACAUAAGGACUACUUUGAUAAAGCAGACAUGGGUUAUAACUGACACCCCACUUCC
rnacentral:tRNA from 1 species